rnacentral:tRNA from 1 species
GCCGAAGUGGUGGAAUUGGUAGACACAAGGGACUUAAAAUCCCUUGUCCUUUAGGACGUGCGAGUUCAAGUCUCGCCUUCGGCA